AGAAGUCAGCGGCGCGGUUGCUGCGGCCGCCGCGCUCCCCGGCCCGAAGCGAUGGAGAACGGAGCGGUGUACAGCCCCACUACAGAGGAGGACCCGGGCCCCGCCAGAGGCCCCCGGAGCGGCCUCGCUGCCUACUGUUUCCUGGGCCGGCUCCCAUUGCUCCGGCGCGUUCUCAAGGGCUUGCAGCUGUUGCUGUCUCUGCUGGCCUUCAUCUGUGAAGAAGUUGUAUCACAAUGUACUUUAUGUGGAGGACUUUAUUUUUUUGAGUUUGUAAGCUGCAGUGCCUUUCUUCUGAGUCUCCUUAUACUGAUUGUGUAUUGCACUCCAUUUUAUGAGAGAGUUGAUACCACAAAAGUAAAAUCAUCGGAUUUUUAUAUUACUUUGGGAACAGGAUGUGUGUUUUUGUUGGCAUCCAUCAUUUUUGUUUCCACACAUGACAGGACUUCAGCUGAGAUUGCUGCAAUUGUAAGUACCUUGUAUUUUUAACAUUGAUUAUUUUUGUUUCCUUAGAAAUAUGGAAUUUGGAGAGUACUUGACAAGUUAUACAGCAUGUUAGAGUUGUUUUUCUUUAACUUACUUUUUAGCAUAAUUUUGAAUAGAAGACCUACAAGCAAAUCAAUAUGAUAGCCUUUAAAACCUAGAGCCUAUAGAAUUUGACUGAAUUUCGUU
rnacentral:sRNA from 1 species